CAAUUCAAUAAAGUCAAUAAAGAAGCGAUUUCUUCUCUCGAUACUGGUUGAUCCCCAAACCUACUCCUCUUGCUUCAUCAACUAAUCGUAUUCUUGGAUCUUGUUUGUAAGAUUGAAAAAAAUAAAUAUUUUUCUAUAUUCCUUUAAUUUCUAUGUGUAUUAAAUUACAAUAGUAUCAACUAUUUUGAUUUUUUAUACUUUAUUCUUUCAUUUUCUUUUAUUUAUUGUCUUCUUUGUUAUAUUUCCUUCAGAUGAAUAUAAAACUACAGAAUAUAUCUUUUCAUUUCACAUUUAAUGGGUUGAAGCAAGAAAUACACUUCGAUUUUUUUUCUAUUUAAUUUUAUACAUAUAUGUCCGAAAAAGGGGAGAAUUUCCUAUUUUUUUUAAAUUCAAUAUAAUAUUAAAUUAAAU
rnacentral:lncRNA from 1 species